AGCGAACGCUGGCGGCAGGCUUAACACAUGCAAGUCGAGCGCCCCGCAAGGGGAGCGGCAGACGGGAGAGUAACACGUGGGAACAUACCUUUUGGUUCGGAACAACUGAGGGAAACUUCAGCUAAUACCGGAUAAGCCCUUACGGGGAAAGAUUUAUCGACGAAAGAUUGGCCCGCGUCUGAUUAGCUAGUUGGUGAGGUAACGGCCCACCAAGGCGACGAUCAGUAGCUGGUCUGAGAGGAUGAUCAGACUCACUUGGACUGAGACACGGCCCAGACUCCUACGGGAGGCAGCAGUGGGGGAUAUUGGACAAUGGGGGCAACCCUGAUCCAGCCAUGCCGCGUGAGUGAUGAAGGCCUUAGGGUUGUAAAGCUCUUUUGCCCGGGAAGAUAAUGACGGUACCGGGAGAAUAAGCCCCGGCUAACUUCGUG
rnacentral:rRNA from 1 species